rnacentral:lncRNA from 1 species
GCAGAGCUCACGGUUUUGCGACAGUGUGAGCCGCUUGACGGUAAACAUCAGUGAAGAGCGCGCAGCAGCGCCUCGCGCGUCAGGAGCGAGUAUUUGGCCACAAACAAAGAAACAUUGCUGCCAAAAACAGGAUUUUGGCUGCAGUUACAUCAGAUGAACACACGGGGGCGGCCGAGCUCCAUUAUUCACCAGAACGAGAGGCAAUCUAUAGAAAUACGUCAGAUUACAGAAGUCAAAUAGACUGCAAAUGGCAUUUCAUGAUGACUUCAAACUUACCAAACUGCUGAAACAGAAUCUGUGAUAUGAGAAGCACAAUCUUUCUGACUGUAAUACCAUAUACCCAAGGCACCGUGUUAUUUGUUGUGAGGGCUGUGCUCUCUUGCACACUUUAAUAUUGCGUUAUUAUUUCAUCUCAGCCUUGAGAUAAAGAAAAAAAAUUAUUGAUUUUAUUUUAUGGGAUUAACCGCGUGCUUUCAG